GGUGUGGAGGUGUAAAGGUGUGGAGGUCUGGACUGGAGGUGUAUGGUGUGGAGGUCUGGAGGUCUGGAGUGGUGGUGUGGAGGUCUGGACUGGAGGUGUGGAGGUCUGGACUGGAGGUGUGGAGGUCUGGACUGGAGGUGUGGAGGUCUGGACUGGAGGUGUGGAGGUCUGGACUGGAGGUGUGGAGGUCUGGACUGGAGGGGUGGAGUCGGCUGUUCUCUGUCUGGCUGCAGAACACAGGGGCUGUGCUGUUGCUGGAAGCCGCAGAUGAAAAGCUGAGUGGUGGAGGGGAAGUGAUGAAGGACCAACCUCCCCAACGCACAACCAGCACUUACUAGGAGGAGAAGAGAGCGCCAUCCUCACUUUUUAUACAUUUCUCUACAAAUCGAUUGUUAGUGACAAUCCAAGAAGCCAAUGCAACCGUUCUGGCAGCUGUGGUGACAUAGUGAGGUGUGAUGAUGUGUGGUGGAUUUUACAGGAAUAAAUCAUGUCCUGCUGUUGCCAACCAUUGGAGAGAUGGAGAAUGUUGUACAGCGACAGAGACUAGGGCAUCGUCAGAGAACCAUAACAACCUCAACCUCAACCCGAUAUCCGUAUCCAC
ensembl:lncRNA